GACGAACGCUGGCGGCGUGCUUAACACAUGCAAGUCGAACGGAGUUCCUUGGAUAGAGGCUUCGGCCAAUUGAAUUGGAACUUAGUGGCGGACUGGUGAGUAACGCGUGAGGAACCUGCCUUUCAGAGGGGGACAACAGUUGGAAACGACUGCUAAUACCGCAUGACACAUUCAGGUGGCAUCACUUGAAUGUCAAAGAUUUUAUCGCUGAAAGAUGGCCUCGCAUCUGAUUAGCCAGUUGGUAGGGUAACGGCCUACCAAGGCGACGAUCAGUAGCCGGACUGAGAGGUUGACCGGCCACAUUGGGACUGAGAUACGGCCCAG
rnacentral:rRNA from 1 species